UACAGAGGUCUCAAGCGUUGUUCGGAUUCAUUGGGCGUAAAGGGUGCGUAGGUGGCGGGGCAAGUCUGGUGUGAAAUCCCGGGGCUCAACCCUGGAACUGCACUGGAUACUGCUUUGCUAGAGUACUGGAGAGGGAACUGGAAUUUACGGUGUAGCAGUGAAAUGCGUAGAGAUCGUAAGGAAGACCAGUGGCGAAGGCGGGUCUCUGGACAGUUCCUGACACUGAGGCACGAAGGCCAGGGGAGCAAACGGG
rnacentral:rRNA from 1 species